rnacentral:rRNA from 1 species
CUACGGGGCGCUCCAGCCGAGAAUCUUCCGCAAUGGGCGAAAGCCUGACGGAGCGACGUCGCGUGACUGAUGAAGCACUUCGGUGUGUAAAGGUCUUUUAUGAAGGAGAAAGUCUCGCUUUUAGCGGGAUUGAUGUUACUUCACGAAUAAGGGGUUGCUAAACUCGUGCCAGCAGCAGCGGUAAUACGAGUGCCCCGAGCGUUGUCCGGAAUCACUGGGCGAAAGGGUGUGUAGGUGGUUUUGUUAGUCUUUUGUUAAAGCGCCGCGCUUAACGCGGGAAAUGCAAAAGAAACAGCAAGACUAGAGGGCGCGAGAGGUCUACGGAACCCAUGGUGUAGGGGUGAAAUCCGUUGAUAUCUUGGGGAACACCAAAAGCGAAGGCAGUAGACUGGUGCGUUCCUGACACUGAGACACGAAAGCGUGGGUAGCGAACGGGAUUAGAUACCCGAGUAGUC